rnacentral:lncRNA from 1 species
CCUCCCUUUCCGGUAGCUGGGAACACACUAGUGUCACCACUCAGGCAUCUCCUUUGCCUUUGUUCACCAUAACUCUAAAAAUUUCUAUGUUGGGGCCUGGGCCAUCGCUCAACUGUCAGCUUGCUCACCUAGCAUGCAUGAGGCACUGGAUUCAAGCCUCGAACCACAUCCUGCAGCACCAGAGCUUCAGGUCCAAAGCACUGGUAUCAUCUCUGACUCAGGGCCAUGUUAGUCCUAGCCCCAGGAGCAACCCCAAGCAACAAGGCAGAAAACAGUGAAGAACCUCGUAUCCUUGCCCUUGCGCCUGGGUGUGUUCUGUGGAAUCUCUCAUGGCACUGCCUCUGCUCCCCAGGGCAGGGGAAAACAACGGUGGGCUCUGACAUACCUCUGCGCAUUCCACACAGUGGCUGUCCUCUGCAGAAUCCUUGGAAACAUUUGACUGGCAAAGGAUUUGAAACAAGCAGUUCACUACUAUAAUGGGAUUAAAUCCUGGAGAGGAGAUGUGGCCAAACAGUGACUCAUUCUUCCUUCAGCAUGCUGUCCCCAGAGGCAGAUAGAGAGAAGGCACGGGUGGUGCACACGGCUCAGCUCGGAAAUCACCAGAAUCUGGGCCCAUUUAUUCCAACUUCCCUUUCAUGGUAUGGAAGAAUUCGUCUUUUAGGAAUCCUCAUCUUGCUGCUGUCGUAUCUACCGUGGAGUAUUCUAUCAUGAGGCUGAUCUUGCUAGCUCAUGGUCAUACACAGUCUGCCCUGUGCUGCUUGGCUCAUGGUAGGCUGGGCCACACUGAGUCAUUUGAAAUAUGGCCCAGUCCCCUGAGAGCCUACUCAUUUGCCUGGUGAUGGACCAGGGUUAGUGAAGAAGCCGACUCUGGGGCCCAUGGAGAGGGGCUGGCCCUGGUUCACUCUGGUCCCCAAAGCAGCUGAGAAGGAUGACGAGAGGCCUCCAGCUGGCAGAAUAGAGCCUGGGCAAGUCCAUUCUCACUACAGAACCUGGGAAA